AUUGAACGCUGGCGGCAGGCCUAACACAUGCAAGUCGAGCGGCAGCGGGAAAGUAGCUUGUUACUUUUGCCGGCGAGCGGCGGACGGGGGAGUAAUGCCUGGGAAAUUGCCCAGUCGAGGGGGAUCACAGUUGGCAACGACUGAUAAUACCGCAUACGCCCUACGGGGGAAAGCAGGGGACCUUCGGGCCUUGCGCGAUUGGAUAUGCCAAGAUUGGAAUAGCUAGUUGGUGAGGUAAUGGCUCACCAAGGCGACGAUCCCUAGCUGGUCUGAGAGGAUGAUCAGCCACAAUGGAACUGGGACAAGGUCCAGACUCCUACUGGAGGCAGGAGUGGGGAAUAUUGCACAAUGGGGGAAACCCUGAUGCAGCCAUGCCGCGUGUGUGAAGAAGGCCUUCGGGUUGUAAAGCACUUUCAGCGAGGAGGAAAGGUCAGUAGCUAAUAUCUGCUGACUGUGACGUUACUCGCAGAAGAAGCACCGGCUAACUCCGUGCCAGCCGCCGCAGUAAAAC
rnacentral:rRNA from 1 species